rnacentral:ncRNA from 2 species
GCGGUUCGCUAGGGGUCCUGGAAUCGUUUCCGGGUGAGAGAUACCCUUCGUACCUGAUCUGGAUAAUGCCAGCGAAGGAAAGCGCAAAAGUCGGCCC